rnacentral:RNase_P_RNA from 1 species
AUAGCAAGCCGGUCUAUCGCUGUCACAAAUGUGAAAGAGGAAAGUCUGGGCAAUGUAGGGCGCCGUCCUUCUGAAGAGGAAGAUGUUCGUGAGAGUAUAGUAAUGUAACAGAGAAUAACCGCCCGUAAGGGUAAGGGUGAAAAGGCGAGGUAAGAGCUCACCAGUACCGGUGGUAACAUUGGUAGCUGUACAUCUGGCGGAUUGCAAGACCAUGUAUAUCAUAAUUCCUAUGGAGCAGAACGGCCCGUUUUGUUUUUCGUAAGAAAAGUUGUGAGGGGUAGGUCGCUUAAAUUAAUUGGUGACAAUUAAUUUAGAUAAAUGAUAGACGCCUUACUUGUAAGGAAACAGGACCCGGCUUACAGGCUUGCUAUUUUU